UCCGCAGCGCCGGGGGCUCGUGGGCCCGGCCAGGGGCAGACGCGCACAGACGGACGGAGCCGCCCGGCUGGAGGGAGAGACGCUGCGGCCGCGGGCUAUUUUAUUGCAAAGCCACUGUGGAAUCCUCAUCUUUCAGACUUUCUGUGGUGGAGUCAGUUGAGCCAAAAUUGUAUCAGACUUAUUUGUUCUGGGGCUUGUCAUCUCUGUCUGACAUAUUAUUGUCUUAAUCCAAAAUACGGUGCAAUGUCAGCUGUGGAACAGCAACAGGCAGAACCUUCUCCAUCAUCCAAUUCAUCCAGUUCCUUUGAAGUAGUGGAGGCAGAUACUGCAAAUAACUAUGAGGCAGUUGUUCCUCACUGGUUUUACUGCAAGGUAAUAGAUUCUAGAGAGAGGUGGAUCCCUUUCAGUCAACAAGACUCGGAGAAGUUAGAAGAGGCCCACAACUCAAGGAAAGACGAUGAACAGCUGGUAGUUCCAACGGAAGGGGGCAGGUAUGACGUGCAUUUGAAGAAGAGGCUGCGCUGUGCCAUGUAUUGGGAGGAAGAGGUGUCUGAAGUGAGACGCUGCACCUGGUUUUACAAGGGAGACAAGGACAACAAGUAUAUUCCCUACUCGGAGAGCUUCAGCGAAGAGUUGGAGGAAACGUACAUGAUUGCCAUAACUCUGGACGAGUGGAAAAAGAGACUUGAAUCCCCUACUAGAGAAAUCAUUAUAUUGCAUAACCCAAAGCUGAUGGUGCACUACCAUCCAGUGACAACCUCUGAUGACUGGGGCUCAACCCCUACAGAACAAGGUCGACCAAGAACUGUUAAGAGAGGAGUGGAGAACAUCUCUGCUGACAUCCCCUGCGGGGAGCCUCUGCAAAUAGAUCACUUGGUUUUUGUUGUUCAUGGAAUUGGGCCAGCAUGUGAUAUCCGGUUCCGGUCCAUCGUCCAAUGUGUGAACGACUUCCGUAACGUUUCCUUGAGCAUGCUGCAAGCACACUUCAAGAAAGCCCAGGAGCAGCAACAGAUUGGCCGGGUAGAGUUCUUGCCUGUAAACUGGCACAGCCCUUUGCAUUCCACGGGGGUGGAUGUCGAUUUGGAGCGAAUUACCUUGCCGAGCAUCAACCGCCUGCGGCACUUCAUAAACGACACCAUACUGGAUGUUUUCUUCUACAAUAGCUCCACCUACUGCCAGACCAUAGUGGAUACUGUUGCUUCAGAAAUGAACCGUCUGUAUCGGCUCUUCCUGCAGAGGAACCCUGACUUUAAAGGGGGUGUUUCCAUCGCGGGCCACAGCUUAGGGUCACUGAUAUUGUUUGAUCUCCUAACAAAUCAGAAAGAUUCCUCUGAGGAUGAAGAUGACAACAAAGAGGGGUCCCAGAUGGGUGCCUAUGGACAGGGAGACAUUGGGGGAGUGAAAGAAAUCCUGAAGAAGCUUGAGCUGUCUGAGUACUACAGUGUCUUUGAGAAGGAGAGAAUGGACACACAAGCACUGGCUCUGUGUACGGAGAAGGAUCUUAAAGACAUGGGAAUUCCCUUGGGACCAAGAACAAAGAUCCUUCAUUAUGUAAGAACCAAAGACGAAACACAGGAUGCUCAGCAGCAGGCCCCUGUCCCUGUUGGGAAUAACAACAAGAGCGAAGAUGCUCCCAAACCUGAGUCAGGGUCAUCCCCGCAGCUGGGCGCCUGGAGCAGCAGCAUGAAUGGUGGGGGGAAGUGUCAAUACUUGGAUGUCGGGCUAGGACAGGUCUCAGCAAAUUACCCUCAGCUAAUCUACAAACCUGACAUCUUCUUUGCUUUUGGGUCUCCCAUUGGGAUGUUUCUCACUGUACGAGGUGUGAAAAGGAUUGAUCCAAACUACAGCCUUCCUACCUGCAAAGGCUUCUUCAAUAUCUUCCAUCCUUUUGACCCGGUGGCGUACAGGAUUGAGCCUAUGAUCAUUCCAGACCUGGAGUUCGAGCCCAUGCUGCUCCCUCAUCACAAGGGCAGGAAGAGAAUGCAUUUAGAACUGAAAGAGGGCCUGACCCGCAUGGGUAUGGAUCUCAAGAACAACCUGCUGGGGUCACUGAGGAUAGCCUGGCAGUCUUUCACCAGAUCCCCACUGCUGGCUGUGGAGGCAGCAGCCACUGAAAAGGAAGCUGAAACUAGUUUGGAGAAACAGCCAGUCCAUUCAGAUAUGAAGCCCGAAGAGCCUGCUGCUAUAGGGAAGGAAGACACCCCUCCUAUCAAUGUGGGAAUGCUAAAUGGAGGCCACCGGAUUGACUAUGUGCUGCAAGAGAAGCCUAUAGAGAGUUUUAAUGAAUAUUUAUUUGCACUACAAGGCCAUCUCUGCUACUGGGAGUCCGAAGAUACCGUUCUCUUGAUUCUAAAAGAGAUCUACCAAACACAGGGCAUUACAUUAGAUCAGCCUCUACAAUGAAGUCAGAUGACCAGCUGCACUGUUCUGGUGACAUGAUGUGCACACCAAGUGACUACUCACCUGGAAAGCCCGGAGUUCCCUCUGCCUUCCUGUCCUCUGCUGCUACUGUAUCCUGCAUGCUGCUUCCUGCAUACCUGCUGCUGCCUGGAGCACUGGGAGAUUUUUCUCAUUUUGGGGGGAAAAAAAUCAACGCAGAACACUCUCUUCUCCUAAAAUACCCACUAUGGACUUGCCCCUGUGCCCAUUGUGACGCCCAUGGGAUCGUUCACGCCAACACCAUUCAGCUGACUAGUCUGAUCAUCUCGCAAAACCCCUCUGCAGUAGGAGUGGGACCUGUCCAAGGAAGAGGGGCUUAAGCCCAGUAACUGCAGCAGGGGGCUGAGGACAGACCAACUCCAUGUCCAGUUCCUUAGCAAAGCAUUCAAUCUAGACUCAGUCAAGACCUCAUUAAGAGAAAAAAGAGCUGCAUUUGAGUGUGGAUGAACAGCUGUGGUGGUAGAGGCUUUCAGUGUGAUUCAUGGGCCAAACGCUCUCCUUUACCCCACCCAUUCCACACUGCUGAGUUCCAAGUGGCUACAUUGGUACAGCUGAGGGGAGCAUCUGGCAUCAUCAACCAACCUCUCCUAUAUAAACAGGUGCUGUGACACUAGAUCCAUGUUCACAAAAUGUGGGUGACCCUGCUGAUGAAACCAUAGGAACCUUUUGUACACAACCAUGGCUUACGCUGUAUUAACCAGGAGCUGCUGAAUGAUUGCUGUUAGAAGCACUGUAAGGGUAACUUAUGGGGCAGAGAUACUAAAAUGAUAAAUCCCUUGUAACCAAAGAUGUACAGGGUAAACAAUGGACUAAACUAACCCCUUAGCAUGUGGAUUCCUUUGAGCAAGGGAGAGCAAAUGCGGAGGGUGUGAGAUAGUGUCUCUGGGUUGGAGUCUGGAAGUGGCCACUCCCAUGUUCCCCGUUCUGCUGUUCAGUGCAAUAGGCCUUUUCCCAGUGCAAUGAGCUUGUUUGUUUUUCUUCUGUGUAUUAUUUGCACUAUUUAAAUGCAUUUUGUAUUCCCCAACCCUGCCCCCUCCAAAAGAACUAAGAGAAGCUGUACUCACACCUGACUGGGCAGUGAUGUUCUGCACAGCUAAGCUCCUGGAUUCCUAUCGCAUCUCCUGGAGGUAUGUAAGAAGGAACUGUUUGACAGGACACACAGUCAUGACCAGCUCUUCAAGUUAUGCACUUUGGGUAAAAAAUUUAAAUGCAUUUAAAAUUGUUAUUUAAUGUCUUUUUCCAGUCAAUACAAAAGUAAAUCUAUGGGUGCAGUGGUUGUGUUUGUUUGUUAGGGAGAGUUUGAGUGGGGUGGUGGAAUAUGAGAACCUAUUAUUUUGGGAUCUCACUUCAUGGCAAAGUAAAGCUGUUGUCAAAAUUCCCAAGAGGAGCCCUUGGCAUUUUACAAAAGGCCACUGCAGUGGACAAGCAUUACAGGAGAAAACACAACUAAGUAGUAGCACCAACUGGAAGUACCUCUUUGUUCACAGGUAGGGAGAGCUGCUUCUAAAAAUGAGUAUUGCUGUAAGGAUAAGAGGUUUUUCAGCAAAGCCCAUCAUUCAGCCUCUUGUUCUUGGAAGCAAAGGAGAUGCCCACAUCUAAAAGUGGCAGAGCUCACCUUGUUACUGUCCUUCAGCGAUGUAUGAAGCAGCCUCAACACUGCCUGCUUACCUCCAGCCAGCAAAAACAGGUGCUUUUGAAGGUUAUCUUAAAAGAGUAGCGGUAAUUCCUUGAGGGUUACAGCUCUCAAAUCUAACCAUAAACAGUUGAAUAAACCAAACCCUGUGACAGAAUACACUGCUUUACCAGUCAGCCUUUCAACAACGGUGAAGACACAUGGCAUUUGCUUCUGACUGUCAUCUCUCAUUGUUAUUAGUGUACAGUAGGGAGGGAGGAAGCAAACCUUGCCUAGAAUUACUAAUAAUGGACAGAAAAACCUGACCUACUUUAUAUAAAAAGAACCAGCUAUAUAAAGACGGAUGAUGUUUUUUAGUACCAAAAAGUAAUAGAACUCAUUUCACUGAAUUAAAACCAGCUUUUUAUUUGACAUUAAAAAAUCCAGUAAAUGACAUGA